rnacentral:lncRNA from 1 species
CGCAGCAAACCCAUCAUUCCCAAAAUGGCCGACCUCCCACCUUCCAGUUUAAGGUUACACCACCCAGCAUUCUACUCAACUGGCAUGGACUGUUUUGGCCCUUUCCUCAUUAAGAUAGGGAGGCGCAAUGAGAAGCGAUGGGGUAUAAUAUUCAAAUGCCUCACUACACAUGCAGUGUAUCUAGAUCUGUUGGCCAGCAUGGACAGUGAUUCUUUCCUCAUGAGUCUACGUUGUUUCAUCUCUAGACGGGGAAAGCCUCACGAAUUGCUGUCUGAUCAAGGCACAAAUUUCAAAGGUGGCAGCUCAGAACUUCAAGAGGCCUUCAAUUCCCUUGCCCCCGAUCUUCAGUCAAAACUCGCCAGCCAGCAAAUCCAUUUCCGCUUCAAACCACCAAGUGCACCUCAUUUCGGUGGUUCCUGGGAGCGAGAAAUCCGCACCAUCAAGUCAGCGCUUCACGCCAUAUUGGGAUCCCAAACAGUCACCGAUGAGGUCCUCCGAACCAUCCUUGCAGAAGUGGAGAGUAUCAUCAACUCCAAGCCCCUUGGCUACACCUCUUCGGAUGUGGCAGACCCAGAUCCAAUCACUCCCAAUAUGCUGCUGAUGGGGCGGCUGGACCCAUCCACUCCUCAAGUUAUUUAUUCCGGCACAGAGCUUCUCAGUCGUUGCAGAUGGCGACACUGCCAGGUCUUAGCGGACCAGUUUUGGAUCCAUUUCAUGAGGAACUACUUACCAUCUCUCCAGAGCCGCUCCAAGUGGCAACAGGACCAAGAGGACAUCUGUAUAGAUGACAUUGUUCUUGUUGUUGACCAGCAGCUCCCGCGCGCCUUGUGGCUUGUCGGAAAGGUCACAUUUGUUUUCCCUGGAGCUGACGGCAAGAUUCGUACUGCUCAAGUACAGGUCAAAGACAAAUCCUACAUCAGACCUGUCGCUAAGCUCAUCAAGCUGCCUGCACUCCCUCAAGACAUUCCUGAUUGACUUGUGUUCAACUUUGCUGCCAAAAGUUGGGGGCGGCUGUUAACAAGGUUCUGAUUUAUGUCAAAUUUAGUGUGUUUUCAGAAUAUAUCCGCAAAGUAUAAUUUAGUUUAUCUUAGUUUCUCUUUCUAUUUUCAUAUAUCUAUGUAAAGAGCCCUGCCUUGUUACAGCUUAGCAAC